AUUGAACGCUGGCGGCAUGCUUUACACAUGCAAGUCGAACGGUAACAGGCCGCAAGGUGCUGACGAGUGGCGAACGGGUGAGUAAUGCAUCGGAACGUGCCCAGUCGUGGGGGAUAACGCAGCGAAAGCUGCGCUAAUACCGCAUACGAUCUAUGGAUGAAAGCGGGGGACCGUAAGGCCUCGCGCGAUUGGAGCGGCCGAUGUCAGAUUAGGUAGUUGGUGGGGUAAAGGCUCACCAAGCCAACGAUCUGUAGCUGGUCUGAGAGGACGACCAGCCACACUGGGACUGAGACACGGCCCAGACUCCUACGGGAGGCAGCAGUGGGGAAUUUUGGACAAUGGGCGCAAGCCUGAUCCAGCAAUGCCGCGUGCAGGAAGAAGGCCUUCGGGUUGUAAACCGCUUUUGUACGGAACGAAAAGCCUGGGGCUAAUAUCCCCGGGUCAUGACGGUACCGUAAGAAUAAGCACCGGCUAACUACGUGCCAGCCGCCGCUGUAACAC
rnacentral:rRNA from 1 species